ACCGCUCUCCAAGGACUCUCGAGCAGCUCCAUCUACAGAUUCACAUGGAGAAGAAUUAAGGGUUCCUGCCAAUCACCAGCACCACUUUGCCAGCCUUACAGUUGGCAUCUGUGUGAAGAUGUGAAUGGAGGAGGCAGAGUAGGCAGUGAGUGCCGCAGCCACAGCUUGUGUUCUCUGCAGCCCUGGCACAGAAGAUAGGAACACUCAUGGGGGAUGCGGCCACUGUGAUGUCUUCCCACACAAGAAGUGCCAAGUGCUUUUCUCAUGCUUUUCUGGAUUGUCCCAUGGUGGACGAGUCAGCAGGAGUGAGAUGGAGCAGCACAGUAGAGGGGUACCUGGCAAGGCCCGGAGGGAGGACCCCCUGCCCCAAACAUUUCAAUGAUAUCAGGUUCCUUAGAUCCUGGGAUGAGGAGGUGGACCAGCAGAAGGUGGGCUUGUGAAGGCAGCCCGGGGUCCAAAUCCUCCUGGCUCUUCAGCUUAGCGGGGUUGCUUAGACUCAGUGGUGUGCUGGAGCAGGCUCCUACCAGCUAGAAAGAACCAGUUCAAUACGUCUCUUCUCAACUCCAUGUUCAGAGUUGUCAGAGAACCAAUUGUUAAAUAUUUACUGGCACUCCACUGCUUAGAUUUUACCAGUGCUUGCAGUGCUAACCAGGAGCUCAUCCCUGGAGGAGAGGCAGAGAAUGUGUACUCCCAGAUGCAGCCAGCUUCCAGAAGAAGAGGUAGGAGCCAAGCAGAGCAUGCCCACAUCAAUCUUCCAGCAUUUAAUGGCCAUAGAAGUUACUGAACCUCCCUUGGAUGGAUAGAAGAUGGCAUUAUCUUUCUUAAAUAUGAUACCUCUUAUCUUUUUGUUCCCUUGACACUUGAGGAGGGAGGCCAAGGGUUGAUCAUGCAAGCAAGUUUGUGCAUUUUGCACAUUUAUUAAGUUAUGCUUUUGAGGAAAUUAAAAGAUCACAAGGGCU
rnacentral:lncRNA from 1 species